GAAUAUUAUUUGCCAAAAGUACUUAAAAAAGAAAAGAAAAAGAAAAAUGAAGGAAUGUAUGCUACCUACAGCCUUAGAAAAAAAUCAGUCAUAUAUCCUUGUUGCAAUCAGGUAGUCUGAGCUAAAAUACAAAACAGCUAGACUAAUGUACUAAUAAGCUGUUCUCAGAAACCUGAAAUAUUUCUAUUUUUUUCUCCUUGAUUUCAAGCACAAACUGGAGACUGAAGCUUGUGCGUUCCUUAAGCCUGGAGUGUGCUUGGAUCUCUGGCUUGGUUUAUUCCCACAUCCUGAUUUAAUUGUUAACUUAAGGUUUUAGAAAGAAUCCAGAGGAAUUGCAGUUUCAGAGAUGGUGCUUGAAGGCACUUGUUGGCUUCAUACCUUCUCAGUCUAAGCUCCACACCAAAGCUGAAAGUCUGAUUUUUCACAGGCCUUCGUCGUUUUCUGAAGUGCUUAAUGUCCAUUUGAUCUCCCCUGCUCUCUCUGAAGGAAGACAAGCUGGCUGGCAACGCGCUGCAGGGAUUGAGGGGGCUGAAGAAGUGGAACGUAAACUCCAGAAUAUUGUCUGGACUGGCUCAAUGUGCCAUCAGGUGUGAGGUUUGGAUAGAGAUUUGUGGAGUUUGAUGCCUUGCCCAGACAGAGCUUGAGUUCAAUCACUUAAAGGCAUGUCCGGCUAGGCACAGCCAUUGUGUUGAGUCCUGGAACAUGAAUAUCCUGUGCGCUUUCAGUAAGAGCCACAGAAGUGUUUGGUUUUACAGGUCACUUCAUUUGUUUCUGGCCCUUGCCUAUGAUAAAUAGCUCCGUCUAUUGCACUGGGCUCUUGCAAAGCUGUUUGCUCAUGCCUGUAGGCGGUCAGGUCUACCUGAGAUGGUUUUUGCGUUUUGGCCCCGGUGGUCCAAGGCCCAGACUGGGAAGACACACUUUGUGAGCUUGGCACAAGUGGGAUUUAUUUGAGUACCCUCUGGGCUGUCCAUUAGACAAAGCCCGCAGUGGAGAGCAUAUAUCUUAGCAGUGGCAUCAAGAGGUUUUAUUUG
rnacentral:lncRNA from 1 species